UGAACCUUUACUAUAGCUUGACACUGAACAUUGAGCCUUGAUGUGUAGGAUAGGUGGGAGGCUUUGAAGUGUGGACGCCAGUCUGCAUGGAGCCGACCUUGAAAUACCACCCUUUAAUGUUUGAUGUUCUAACGUGGACCCGUUACCCGGGUUGCGGACAGUGUCUGGUGGGUAGUUUGACUGGGGCGGUCUCCUCCUAAAGAGUAACGGAGGAGCACGAAGGUUGGCUAAUCCUGGUCGGACAUCAGGAGGUUAGUGCAAUGGCAUAAGCCAGCUUGACUGCGAGCGUGACGGCGCGAGCAGGUGCGAAAGCAGGUCAUAGUGAUCCGGUGGUUCUGAAUGGAAGGGCCAUCGCUCAACGGAUAAAAGGUACUCCGGGGAUAACAGGCUGAUACCGCCCAAGAGUUCAUAUCGACGGCGGUGUUUGGCACCUCGAUGUCGGCUCAUCACAUCCUGGGGCUGAAGUAGGUCCCAAGGGUAUGGCUGUUCGCCAUUUAAAGUGGUACGCGAGCUGGGUUUAGAACGUCGUGAGACAGUUCGGUCCCUAUCUGCCGUGGGCGCUGGAGAACUGAGGGGGGCUGCUCCUAGUACGAGAGGACCGGAGUGGACGCAUCACUGGUGUUCGGGUUGUCAUGCCAAUGGCACUGCCCGGUAGCUAAAUGCGGAAGAGAUAAGUGCUGAAAGCAUCUAAGCACGAAACUUGCCCCGA
rnacentral:rRNA from 1 species